AGAGUUUGAUCCUGGCUCAGGACGAACGCUGGCGGCGUGCCUAAUACAUGCAAGUAGAACGCUGAAGAGAGGAGCUUGCUCUUCUUGGAUGAGUUGCGAACGGGUGAGUAACGCGUAGGUAACCUGCCUUGUAGCGGGGGAUAACUAUUGGAAACGAUAGCUAAUACCGCAUAACAAUGGAUGACACAUGUCAUUUAUUUGAAAGGGGCAAUUGCUCCACUACAAGAUGGACCUGCGUUGUAUUAGCUAGUAGGUGAGGUAACGGCUCACCUAGGCGACGAUACAUAGCCGACCUGAGAGGGUGAUCGGCCACACUGGGACUGAGACACGGCCCAGACUCCUACGGGAGGCAGCAGUAGGGAAUCUUCGGCAAUGGGGGCAACCCUGACCGAGCAACGCCGCGUGAGUGAAGAAGGUUUUCGGAUCGUAAAGCUCUGUUGUAAGUCAAGAACGAGUGUGAGAGUGGAAAGUUCACACUGUGACGGUAGCUUACCAGAAAGGGACGGCUAACUACGUGCCAGCAGCCGCGGUAAUACGUAGGUCCCGAGCGUUGUCCGGAUUUAUUGGGCGUAAAGCGAGCGCAGGCGGUUUGAUAAGUCUGAAGUUAAAGGCUGUGGCUCAACCAUAGUUCGCUUUGGAAACUGUCAAACUUGAGUGCAGAAGGGGAGAGUGGAAUUCCAUGUGUAGCGGUGAAAUGCGUAGAUAUAUGGAGGAACACCGGUGGCGAAAGCGGCUCUCUGGUCUGUAACUGACGCUGAGGCUCGAAAGCGUGGGGAGCGAACAGGAUUAGAUACCCUGGUAGUCCACGCCGUAAACGAUGAGUGCUAGGUGUUGGAUCCUUUCCGGGAUUCAGUGCCGCAGCUAACGCAUUAAGCACUCCGCCUGGGGAGUACGACCGCAAGGUUGAAACUCAAAGGAAUUGACGGGGGCCCGCACAAGCGGUGGAGCAUGUGGUUUAAUUCGAAGCAACGCGAAGAACCUUACCAGGUCUUGACAUCCCGAUGCUAUUUCUAGAGAUAGAAAGUUACUUCGGUACAUCGGUGACAGGUGGUGCAUGGUUGUCGUCAGCUCGUGUCGUGAGAUGUUGGGUUAAGUCCCGCAACGAGCGCAACCCCUAUUGUUAGUUGCCAUCAUUCAGUUGGGCACUCUAGCGAGACUGCCGGUAAUAAACCGGAGGAAGGUGGGGAUGACGUCAAAUCAUCAUGCCCCUUAUGACCUGGGCUACACACGUGCUACAAUGGUUGGUACAACGAGUUGCGAGUCGGUGACGGCAAGCUAAUCUCUUAAAGCCAAUCUCAGUUCGGAUUGUAGGCUGCAACUCGCCUACAUGAAGUCGGAAUCGCUAGUAAUCGCGGAUCAGCACGCCGCGGUGAAUACGUUCCCGGGCCUUGUACACACCGCCCGUCACACCACGAGAGUUUGUAACACCCGAAGUCGGUGAGGUAACCUUUUGGAGCCAGCCGCCUAAGGUGGGAUAGAUGAUUGGGGUGAAGUCGUAACAAGGUAGCCGUAUCGGAAGGUGCGGCUGGAUCACCUCCUUU
rnacentral:rRNA from 3 species